UUGUGCACUGUUGGUGGGAAUGUAAAUUGGUGCAGUCACUAUAGAAAAUAAUAAGGAAGUUCCUCAAAAAACUAAAAGUAGGACUACCAUAGGACCCA